rnacentral:rRNA from 1 species
UUAAAUUGAAGAGUUUGAUCAUGGCUCAGAUUGAACGCUGGCGGCAGGCCUAACACAUGCAAGUCGAACGGUAACAGGAAGCAGCUUGCUGCUUUGCUGACGAGUGGCGGACGGGUGAGUAAUGUCUGGGAAACUGCCCGAUGGAGGGGGAUAACUACUGGAAACGGUAGCUAAUACCGCAUAACGUCGCAAGACCAAAGAGGGGGACCUUAGGGCCUCUUGCCAUCGGAUGUGCCCAGAUGGGAUUAGCUAGUAGGUGGGGUAAUGGCUCACCUAGGCGACGAUCCCUAGCUGGUCUGAGAGGAUGACCAGCCACACUGGAACUGAGACACGGUCCAGACUCCUACGGGAGGCAGCAGUGGGGAAUAUUGCACAAUGGGCGCAAGCCU